rnacentral:misc_RNA from 1 species
CCGAAAGGAAAAGAACAAUCAUCAAUGAGUUGACAAUUGAAAACCAGUGAAUCUGAUCAUCAGCCAUCAGAAGAUAGGAAUCCCACCUAGAUGCCCACUUUACAUCACUUUCCUGGAACUCAACAUCAUAUGUAAAAAUUAUGUCCUUGUUAACCUCCACCUCCAGAGGAGUUUCUGAGUUGGUGACCAAUCGUUUUGCAUGGGGAUCACAGGUCGUUAAACGUGUAUUCUCAUUCUUCCACUCACCUUCGAACUCAUGCUUAACACUGAAUGGUUUUACUUCAAAUCCAACAAUCCUGGCUGAAUCUGUCUGAGCGUCUUUGUGAAAUUUGACGGUAAAUGCUAAGUGAUUGUGAAUAAAAUGUUUUUGCUCUUUGCUUCCAGCAUAUUGUCCUCUGAGACCAACAUGAAAGCCAUGUUGAUACACUAUGGAAUUUUCCUGAUCAAGCCUUGGAAUAGGGAAGACCAAAGGAAGAUUGUCCAAGAUCAUAUUCACCCGAUAUUCAUCAUCUAUCUUUUCCUUGAAUUCCUUUGCAGUUUUCGCAUCAAGUGUAAUACGGCAUAAAAUUUUGCACAUUUGUGGUUCUCUCAUCUUAAAAACAUAAGGAGAGUUUUCAAUGCGAUCACCACGGAGAACUUCCCCAAGAUUUUCAGCACUAUCGACUAUAUGCUUUGGAGGACAGUAAGGGAGGGAAUAGUAGGAAUAAGGAAGUUGUGUUUUUGUAGAAGUCAGUUUGUUUACUUUCACCUUCAAUUCAUCUCCCAUAAGGAAAUCCUCAGGGGCGACACCAGGGAGAUAAAAGCAAUGACAAUUGACGAAGAGCAAAGCACAGACGCCGAUCCAUAGUUUGAAUGCGAGAGCCCCCCCCGCCAUAGCAGCACACAGCGCAGGAUAUAGAUCCACCAAAAUUUGAUCAAUUACUCUCUCUCUCUCUCUAGAACUAGUGAGCUUUCUCACUCUAGAUUGAUAACUGGCAACGGAGGGAGGGUGCGUCGUGGGUUG